rnacentral:rRNA from 1 species
CCUACGGGUGGCUGCAGUGGGGAAUAUUGCACAAUGGGCGCAAGCCUGAUGCAGCCAUGCCGCGUGUGUGAAGAAGGCCUUCGGGUUGUAAAGCACUUUCAGCGGGGAGGAAGGCGGUGAGGUUAAUAACCUCAUCGAUUGACGUUACCCGCAGAAGAAGCACCGGCUAACUCCGUGCCAGCAGCCGCGGUAAUACGGAGGGUGCAAGCGUUAAUCGGAAUUACUGGGCGUAAAGCGCACGCAGGCGGUCUGUCAAGUCGGAUGUGAAAUCCCCGGGCUCAACCUGGGAACUGCAUUCGAAACGGGCAGGCUAGAGUCUUGUAGAGGGGGGUAGAAUUCCAGGUGUAGCGGUGAAAUGCGUAGAGAUCUGGAGGAAUACCGGUGGCGAAGGCGGCCCCCUGGACAAAGACUGACGCUCAGGUGCGAAAGCGUGGGGAGCAAACAGGAUUAGAUACCCGUGUAGUC